GCCAGCGUAGCGCGUUGGUUUGUGUGUUGGACUCCCAAGUCUGGAGACCAGGGUUCGAAUCCCGGCUCGGCC